rnacentral:rRNA from 1 species
UACGGAGGGUGCAAGCGUUAUCCGGAUUUACUGGGUUUAAAGGGUGUGUAGGCGGACUUUUAAGUCAGCGGUGAAAUCUCCGGGCUCAACCCGGAAACUGCCAUUGAUACUAUUGGUCUUGAAUGUUGUUGAGGUGGGCGGAACGGGUCAUGUAGCGGUGAAAUGCAUAGAUAUGACCCGGAACACCGAUUGCGAAGGCAGCCCACUAAGCAACGAUUGACGCUGAGGCACGAAGCGUGGGAUCAAACAGGG